rnacentral:lncRNA from 1 species
CCUAGACCACUCACGAACUCGUCACAGCAUCCUCCAUGCGCCUCAUCCUGUGGUACCUGUUCUUGACCUGUGGGGGGAGUGUGAGACAGCAAGAGUGAGCUCACAUACGUUCAUCGCUCAACAAGUUGUGGGGAAUAAUGUGCAUGAACUCGCCAAAGGUGGGAGCUCACGUGAAGUGUAAGGCUUACCAAAGAGAAUGGUUAGAGCUGAGCAUUGCUUUUAAAGUUGGUCAAAAUUUUAUUAGCAGUUACUAAGUAUAAGUAAAUACCAACCCAAUUAAGAAAAGUAAUAACAUCACCUGCGAUGCAAUGCAUAUGACAAAUUGAAUUUAGGUUUCAUAAAUUAAUCAUGUGAGGGUCCGAGCUGCUCAUGACCGUGAGCACGGCUAGUAUACCAGUUUUACACUCUACAGAGGUUGUGCAUCUUUACCCACAAGUCAUGUUACCCGUCUGCCAAGGGAUCGCGACUUCCCAUACACCUCUACCGAGGAGGCGAGGCAGGGUAACACUACGAGGCCUUUACAAAGUUCCACUAGCUUCAGAAAACCCGCUACAGUUUAUAGGAAGCUCCAAUGCAGGGAUCCCUCGCAUGAUCGCCAUCGCAGCAAAAUCAUCCCAAGGACCUCCCUACACUGACCACUCCCCUACUGCCCUUGCCCCUUUCGGGCAAGGUAGUCUUCCACUAGCUUUCCUAAUUAAUCAGCCAAGGGCGUCCAUAAACCCUUGUGGUAGCACUGUUUUCCCGGGUGGUCGCUCCAUGUUCCAAUUAACAUAAUGAUCUUAUCAUGAACAGUAAAUAACAACGGAUAACCAAAAGUAUAAUCAUGAAUAAUGUAUCUCCAUACCCAAAACCACAUAAAGCGCUAGCAAGUACUACCCAAAAAGUUCAGUGGUAAACAAGGUAUAAAGAUAAUCAAACUAGGGUAACCUAUUGGGUCCCAUCAAAAUUAACCUAUACAGAUCAUUAUGAUUAAUUAGAACAUGAGUGGGUAAAAAGAAGUGAUCAAGGGCACAACUUGCCUGGGACUUGAGAUUUCAUGUACCAACUUGCUCUUCAGGUGACACGUGUCCUCACUGCUAAACGUAGCAAUACAGACAAACAUGGUGCAGGCAAAAUUAACAUCACAUCAAACAUAAGAACAACUUGUGUAAUAAUGAUUUACGCGUUGCUACGAGAUCGUGGAAUCGAGAACUACUAAGUUCGGAGUCAUGGUUAAGGAGUUAUGAUUUAUGGGAGAUCUAUGUGAUUUAACCAUUAAACUAUGUUAUAACUUGGUUAGUGUAAAUCAUAUGAGAGAUUAUUCUAUAAAUAAUUAACUCAACAUUAGUUUUAAUUAUAACUUGACUAGAGAUCAUAUUUUAAUCAAAUUAUAAUUAUGGACAUGUUAGAUUUGAUUUAGAAGAGCUAAUCUUGUAGACAUAGAAUAUAUAAAUAUAAAAGUAUGUGACAUGGUAUAAUUGAUGGUGUUACUGCAUAGUAAGUAUUUAUACGAAGCUAACGCAACUGGAACGGGUCAAUUCGGAGUUAAAAUGAAUUGAUUAUGAAUUUUCGAAGUUUUAAGUGAUAGAUGCAAAACAAAUCAGCGCAUAAAUUUAAGGAACAAUUGGAUCUAUACCAUUAAAAGAUCCAAACUUUAGAUAUAUACCAUGGACCCCACAUGUCAUUGACUCAUGUGGACCCACAUGUAAGUGAGAUAGUAAUGGUAUGGAUCCAAAGUGGUGAUCUUUUAAUGGUAUGGAUCCAAAUUUCCCUAAAUUUAACCAUGUGUUCCAUACUAAAAUAAGGUUACUAGAUGAUAAAAAUAUUUUCAUGAAUUUAUUGUAACGGAAAUUGAAAAAAAAAAAUAUAUAUUAGAUAUGAAUUAAGCAAGUCUACGGAAUUAUUUUUAUAUAAGGAAUUCAAUUUCAGUAUAUUUUUGCUAAUUAUUAAGCUGACUGGACCGUGGCCAGAAUACUACGAAAGAUUAGAGGCUAAAUCAUCAAUUUCAGGACCUAGAUCUAAUUAUUUUAUAAAUGCUAUGGGACCGCGGAUCAAUUAUAACAUAAUCCAGGACCCAACAUUAAUUAACUGAAGGGGGUGUCUGCCUUCUAAUUUCAGCCGCUCACAGGACACCCUACGGUUCGGAUCCAAUCCCACCAAAGCAGCAUGUUUGUUUUGAUCCUGACCGCUGGUUGACCGAUCAACGGCCAAGGCUAUCCCUCAUUUCCUACCCCGGCGGCGCUGCGCUUCUCACGACAGCAGCUAUGGCCGGACAUCAGGGAGAUCGGCUACCCCGGCGUACAACUUCGCUCCGACAUGCUCUACUCGAAGAGGAAGAUUGGUCGGACGACAUGGGUGGAUUCUUACCGGCCCAUGAGUAGUAGCAGUCCUUGUCCACGAAACAAAGGAGCACCGCGGCGGUGAUGUACUCCGGCGACGAAUUCCUGGUUUCCCGGAUGCUGUCCAGACCAAACUCCAAUGCUUGUCGAUGGCGUAGACACGAGGUGACUUCCUCCUUUCUCUCACCCGCAUAGCAAUGUUGAUGGCUCUCAGAUUUCUUCUACAAGAACAUGCGGUGGCUUGUUGGCGGUGACCGUUGAGAGGGCGUGGUGGCUGCGGCACUUUAUACGCGAAGCCCCAGCCAGGCGAGCGUAGCUGGCGGAGACCGUUUG